CGCGGAGUCCCGGGAACGCGGGGGAGGUGGCCGUGCAGUUUCUGGCACUAACUCGGGCGUCCUCCCGAAGCCUUAGUUCCGCCGCGAGUAACGGUCCGUGGGAAUUAACAACCUUCGCCCCAGGGAAGGUGGGCCGGUCGCCAAUUUCAGCAGCUCCCUCUUCGCCCAGGGGCCCCAGCCUUCUUCCCUCACGCGCAUCCCCUCAAGGGAGUGACGAGCUAGGCCUUCGCUCGGCCCUGCACCUUGGGGCUCUCCCCACGCCUUCAAGGUCCAGGCGACAGGGCUGCUCGCUGAUGCUUAUCAUUUUUAUUCUUAUUUUGAGCCUCCAGGCCCUAGACCCGAGCCUCUGGAGAGCGGGCAGCCCUCUGGGGGGUUCGUCGUCGCUCCCCCCCGCUUCCCGCGGGGCCGAGGCUCGCCGCAGGGAGGGGGCGUCCGCCGGGAGACGAGGAGGGGCUGGGCGGAGACAGCGGCCGUGCGCCCGCCCUCGCCCCCUGCCGGCCGGCGCGGCGCUCCGCACGUCCGCCGCGGGGGCGGCGCGGCGCGGCUUCUGGAAGGUGCUGAGGAGGCGCGGUUUUUCCAGAGCAAGAUGGUGCUGAAAACCAGCUGUUGACGUGGCUCGGGAAAGCGCCCGCUAAGCAAGGAGAGCGUCCUGGAGGAAGCUCGCCCUGGCCCGGGACCUGGGAGGAGUGCGCUAAAUGCAGUGGAUGCGUUCAGCCUGACCGUUGAUUUAUCCCCGCGCAGCAGAUCCACUCACGUUGCACUGAGGCUGUCGACAUAUUUUAGUGUUCCAGAACUAGAAGGGGAAGUGAAAUAAUCUUGGCACUUUGAAGUGAUUUGAGCGCUGAGCAGCACCUGUGAAGGGUUGCGUUUACGCAGCGUGUGGAGAGGUGGAUACCUGCUUGUUUUCUUAUCCCGGAAACCUCUGUCCCUAACGGGUGACGUCUGCGGGGUGAGGGCCGGGCAGCACUGUGAAGUGCGCACUCACACUGUUUCUCCCUCCUCUUGCACUUCUCUCUACGAGAGAAUUGAAUCAUUGUUAAAGUCUAAGUGACUGGUAAAACUGUAGCCACUCCUGGGAGAUUUUGCAUUUUUAGAGUUUUCCAAACCAUAAUCCGCAGCAGUGGUGGAAACCAUCUCAUAAACCAACCAAGAUGUAGGGGAGCUGUUUUGGGGGCAGGUUGUGAGUUCACCAGAGCCGUCUGGAACCGCAAGUCUAGGUAGUCACGUAUUGUAAGUCUGACGCUGGUCGUUUCUUAUUGCCUUAGUUUUCUUACCUCUAAAAAUGAGUAGCACCACUCAGUGCCCACCCACCCCUAGAUCUAAAAUGAAAGUAAAUGUAAUCUUGAUGGGAUGGCUUCAACAGAGGGAUACUCUCUUGGUAUCCGGUACCUUGGUGCAGCGGAAGUUUGAAGAAAGUCCGGCCCAUUUUAUGGGUUGAAUCCACUCAGUUCUUGAUUCCCG
rnacentral:lncRNA from 1 species